GUCCUCUGCAUUGGGACCUCCAUCUAGGUUGGAUCUGGGGCUACGACUCUGUUUUGGUUUGAUAGGUGGGCUGGAGACACCCCCUUUGCUGCGCGCUUCCCCAACCUCUUCUCCAUCGCUAUCGACCCUUCGAUCGUAGUUGAGAGGGCCCUUAUUGACUUAGGGCACCUCGCAUUCCGGAGGCCAUUUGGGCCUCUGGAAUCUGCCGCCUGGCAUGAGCUACUGGCGUGCGUUGCGCUUCACGAACCUAUCAUGGAUGCCGGCCAGGACCUGGUGAGAUGGCGUAUGGAGUCGUCAGGCCAAUUUUCCACCAAGUCCCUCGCUACCUCUUGA
rnacentral:rRNA from 1 species